UUGAGAAACUGAACCAAAACUUCAAAGGAGCUAAAGGCCUCAAUAAAGCCAUCUAGUCUGCAGUAACACUAAAAGGGAUAUUCUGGUGUAAAAUCAAUUUAGGGUCAAACACACCGUAACACAGAGUUAGACUCCCCCUCAAGAGAUGAAUGUUGCCAACCGCUUGCUUCUCUAGUUAUACAAACUACACAGCGGUCUGAGGAGCCAUAAACAAUCCUCAACCAAAGCGCCACUCUAUAGCCAUUUCUUCAUGGAAAUGCAAUCAGACCGAGACGCUAAGACAGAAGAACUACCGUGUCUGCAGUGCAAAAUGAUUAAUAUGCUUAUUAUUACUUAAAGGAAAUGAUCAUAAAUGUUCCUCUUUGAGCUGCGGCACCCCGCAGCUGUUCAUAAUGGACUGGCCCGAGGUCUUGCUACAAACAAGCGGCUGCUGGAAGAGAGUUGGUGAGUUGUGUUUAGUGUCUUUGCUUAAGAAAUUAGGGAAAGUUAAAAAGAUGUUUGGUGGCUAGUACUGUGGCUGGGACC